CCCGGUGAUGGUUGUCCGGGGCUAAGUGUGUGGACUGUCUGGUAGGUAAAUCCGCUGGGCGUGAAGGUUGAGGCAUGAUGGGGAGCCCACGGUUGUGGGUGAGUGAGUGAUCCUGUACUGUCGAGAAAAGCUUCGUGAGCGAGGUGGCGGGUCCGCCCGUACCCUAAACCGACACUGGUGGAUAGGUAGAGUAUACCGAGGCGAUCGAGUGAAUCGUGGUGAAGGAACUCGGCAAAAUGCCCCCGUAACUUUGGGAUAAGGGGGACCUGAGCUGUCGUGCACCCGUGCGGUGUGGUGGCGGUGAGGGGCGCAGAGUCCAGGGGGAAACGACUGUUUACCAAAAACACAGGUCCGUGCGAAGUCGUAAGACGAUGUAUACGGACUGACUCCUGCCCGGUGCUGGAAGGUUAAGGGGAACUGUGAGUGUGAUGCGUAGCGGUGAACUUAAGCCCCAGUAAACGGCGGUGGUAACUAUAACCAUCCUAAGGUAGCGAAAUUCCUUGUCGGGUAAGUUCCGACCUGCACGAAUGGAGUAACGAUUUCCCUACUGUCUCCACCAUGAACUCGGUGAAAUUGCAUUACGAGUAAAGAUGCUCGUUACGCGCAGCAGGACGGAAAGACCCCGGGACCUUUACUAUAGUUUGGUAUUGGUGAUUGGGACGGUUUGUGUAGGAUAGGUGGGAGACGUUGAUGCGGCCACGCUAGUGGUGGUGGAGUCGUUGGUGAAAUACCACUCUGAUUGUUCUGGUUAUCUCACUGUGGACCGUGAUCCGGUUCAAGGACAGUGCCUGAUGGGUAGUUUGACUGGGGCGGUCGCCUCCUAAAGGGUAACGGAGGCGCCCAAAGGUUCCCUCAUCCUGGUUGGUAAUCAGGUGGUGAGUGUAAGUGCACAAGGGGGCUUGACUGUGAGACUGACAGGUCGAGCAGGGACGAAAGUCGGGACUAGUGAUCUGACGGUGGCUUGUGGAUGCGCCGUCACUCAACGGAUAAAAGGUACCCCGGGGAUAACAGGCUGAUCUUGCCCGAGCGCUCAUAGCGACGGCAUGGUUUGGCACCUCGAUGUCGGCUCGUCGCAUCCUGGGGCUGGAGUCGGUCCCAAGGGUUGGGCUGUUCGCCCAUUAAAGCGGCACGCGAGCUGGGUUCAGAACGUCGUGAGACAGUUCGGUCCCUAUCCGCUGCGCGCGGAGGAAUCUUGAGAAGGGCUGUCUUUAGUACGAGAGGACCGAGACGGACUGACCUCUGGUGUGCCAGUUGUUCUGCCAAGAGCAUG
rnacentral:rRNA from 1 species